GGUUAAGCGACUAAGCGUACACGGUGGAUGCCCUGGCAGUCAGAGGCGAUGAAGGACGUGCUAAUCUGCGAUAAGCGUCGGUAAGGUGAUAUGAACCGUUAUAACCGGCGAUUUCCGAAUGGGGAAACCCAGUGUGUUUCGACACACUAUCAUUAACUGAAUCCAUAGGUUAAUGAGGCGAACCGGGGGAACUGAAACAUCUAAGUACCCCGAGGAAAAGAAAUCAACCGAGAUUCCCCCAGUAGCGGCGAGCGAACGGGGAGCAGCCCAGAGCCUGAAUCAGUGUGUGUGUUAGUGGAAGCGUCUGGAAAGGCGCGCGAUACAGGGUGACAGCCCCGUACACAAAAAUGCACAUGCUGUGAGCUCGAUGAGUAGGGCGGGACACGUGGUAUCCUGUCUGAAUAUGGGGGGACCAUCCUCCAAGGCUAAAUACUCCUGACUGACCGAUAGUGAACCAGUACCGUGAGGGAAAGGCGAAAAGAACCCCGGCGAGGGGAGUGAAAAAGAACCUGAAACCGUGUACGUACAAGCAGUGGGAGCACGCUUAGGCGUGUGACUGCGUACCUUUUGUAUAAUGGGUCAGCGACUUAUAUUCUGUAGCAAGGUUAACCGAAUAGGGGAGCCGAAGGGAAACCGAGUCUUAACUGGGCGUUAAGUUGCAGGGUAUAGACCCGAAACCCGGUGAUCUAGCCAUGGGCAGGUUGAAGGUUGGGUAACACUAACUGGAGGACCGAACCGACUAAUGUUGAAAAAUUAGCGGAUGACUUGUGGCUGGGGGUGAAAGGCCAAUCAAACCGGGAGAUAGCUGGUUCUCCCCGAAAGCUAUUUAGGUAGCGCCUCGUGAAUUCAUCUCCGGGGGUAGAGCACUGUUUCGGCAAGGGGGUCAUCCCGACUUACCAACCCGAUGCAAACUGCGAAUACCGGAGAAUGUUAUCACGGGAGACACACGGCGGGUGCUAACGUCCGUCGUGAAGAGGGAAACAACCCAGACCGCCAGCUAAGGUCCCAAAGUCAUGGUUAAGUGGGAAACGAUGUGGGAAGGCCCAGACAGCCAGGAUGUUGGCUUAGAAGCAGCCAUCAUUUAAAGAAAGCGUAAUAGCUCACUGGUCGAGUCGGCCUGCGCGGAAGAUGUAACGGGGCUAAACCAUGCACCGAAGCUGCGGCAGCGACGCUGAUGCGUUGUUGGGUAGGGGAGCGUUCUGUAAGCCUGUGAAGGUGUGCUGUGAGGCAUGCUGGAGGUAUCAGAAGUGCGAAUGCUGACAUAAGUAACGAUAAAGCGGGUGAAAAGCCCGCUCGCCGGAAGACCAAGGGUUCCUGUCCAACGUUAAUCGGGGCAGGGUGAGUCGACCCCUAAGGCGAGGCCGAAAGGCGUAGUCGAUGGGAAACAGGUUAAUAUUCCUGUACUUGGUGUUACUGCGAAGGGGGGACGGAGAAGGCUAUGUUGGCCGGGCGACGGUUGUCCCGGUUUAAGCGUGUAGGCUGGUUUUCCAGGCAAAUCCGGAAAAUCAAGGCUGAGGCGUGAUGACGAGGCACUACGGUGCUGAAGCAACAAAUGCCCUGCUUCCAGGAAAAGCCUCUAAGCAUCAGGUAACAUCAAAUCGUACCCCAAACCGACACAGGUGGUCAGGUAGAGAAUACCAAGGCGCUUGAGAGAACUCGGGUGAAGGAACUAGGCAAAAUGGUGCCGUAACUUCGGGAGAAGGCACGCUGAUAUGUAGGUGAAGCGACUUGCUCGUGGAGCUGAAAUCAGUCGAAGAUACCAGCUGGCUGCAACUGUUUAUUAAAAACACAGCACUGUGCAAACACGAAAGUGGACGUAUACGGUGUGACGCCUGCCCGGUGCCGGAAGGUUAAUUGAUGGGGUUAGCGCAAGCGAAGCUCUUGAUCGAAGCCCCGGUAAACGGCGGCCGUAACUAUAACGGUCCUAAGGUAGCGAAAUUCCUUGUCGGGUAAGUUCCGACCUGCACGAAUGGCGUAAUGAUGGCCAGGCUGUCUCCACCCGAGACUCAGUGAAAUUGAACUCGCUGUGAAGAUGCAGUGUACCCGCGGCAAGACGGAAAGACCCCGUGAACCUUUACUAUAGCUUGACACUGAACAUUGAGCCUUGAUGUGUAGGAUAGGUGGGAGGCUUAGAAGUGUGGACGCCAGUCUGCAUGGAGCCGACCUUGAAAUACCACCCUUUAAUGUUUGAUGUUCUAACGUUGACCCGUAAUCCGGGUUGCGGACAGUGUCUGGUGGGUAGUUUGACUGGGGCGGUCUCCUCCUAAAGAGUAACGGAGGAGCACGAAGGUUGGCUAAUCCUGGUCGGACAUCAGGAGGUUAGUGCAAUGGCAUAAGCCAGCUUGACUGCGAGCGUGACGGCGCGAGCAGGUGCGAAAGCAGGUCAUAGUGAUCCGGUGGUUCUGAAUGGAAGGGCCAUCGCUCAACGGAUAAAAGGUACUCCGGGGAUAACAGGCUGAUACCGCCCAAGAGUUCAUAUCGACGGCGGUGUUUGGCACCUCGAUGUCGGCUCAUCACAUCCUGGGGCUGAAGUAGGUCCCAAGGGUAUGGCUGUUCGCCAUUUAAAGUGGUACGCGAGCUGGGUUUAGAACGUCGUGAGACAGUUCGGUCCCUAUCUGCCGUGGGCGCUGGAGAACUGAGGGGGGCUGCUCCUAGUACGAGAGGACCGGAGUGGACGCAUCACUGGUGUUCGGGUUGUCAUGCCAAUGGCACUGCCCGGUAGCUAAAUGCGGAAGAGAUAAGUGCUGAAAGCAUCUAAGCACGAAACUUGCCCCGAGAUGAGUUCUCCCUGACUCCUUGAGAGUCCUGAAGGAACGUUGAAGACGACGACGUUGAUAGGCCGGGUGUGUAAGCGCAGCGAUGCGUUGAGCUAACCGGUACUAAUGAACCGUGAGGCUUAACCUU
rnacentral:rRNA from 1 species